rnacentral:rRNA from 1 species
CCCGGGCGCACGGGUGGGUAACACGUAUGCAAUCCACCUGUAACAGGGGGAUAACCCGGAGAAAUCCGGACUAAUACCCCAUAAUAUGGGCGCUCCGCAUGGAGAGCCCAUUAAAGAGAGCAAUUUUGGUUACAGACGAGCAUGCGCUCCAUUAGCCAGUUGGCGGGGUAACGGCCCACCAAAGCGACGAUGGAUAGGGGUUCUGAGAGGAAGGUCCCCCACAUUGGAACUGAGACACGGUCCAA